rnacentral:rRNA from 1 species
UACGUAGGUCCCGAGCGUUGUCCGGAUUUAUUGGGCGUAAAGCGAGCGCAGGUGGUUUAUUAAGUCUGGUGUAAAAGGCAGUGGCUCAACCAUUGUAUGCAUUGGAAACUGGUAGACUUGAGUGCAGGAGAGGAGAGUGGAAUUCCAUGUGUAGCGGUGAAAUGCGUAGAUAUAUGGAGGAACACCGGUGGCGAAAGCGGCUCUCUGGCCUGUAACUGAUACUGAGGCCCGAAAGCGUGGGGAGCAAACAGG